AUUGAACGCUGGCGGCGUGCCUAACACAUGCAAGUCGAGCGGCAGCGCGGGAGCAAUCCUGGCGGCGAGCGGCGGACGGGUGAGUAAUGCUUGGGAAUCUGCCUGUUAGUGGGGGACAACCCGGGGAAACGUACGGGCGUAAUACCGCAUACGCACUACGGUGGAAAGCCGGGGACCGCAAGGCCUGGCGCUAACAGAUGAGCCCAAGUCGGAUUAGCUAGUUGGUAGGGUAACGGCCACCAAGGCGACGAUCCGUAACCUGGUCUGAGAGGACGACCAGUCACACCGGAACUGAGACACGGUCCGGACUCCUACGGGAGGCAGCAGGUGGGGAAUAUUGGACAAUAGGGGGAACCCUGAUCCAGCGACGCCGCGUGAGGGAUGACGGCCUUCGGUU
rnacentral:rRNA from 1 species